rnacentral:misc_RNA from 1 species
GAGGGAGGAUCGGCCGCAUGGAUCGGCGGGAGGGCUGUACCUGUUCAGGGAUUAUAUUAUGGAGGAUAGCCCGUCGCAUAUAUUCUUGCUGAAUUGCGAUGUUUGCUGCAGCUUCCCACUACCUGAUAUGCUCGAGGCUCAUAAAAGAUACGGUGGGAUGGGAACAAUAUUAGUAAGCAAGGUAUCUGCUGAAUCAGCUAGCCAGUUUGGUGAGUUAGUGGCUGACCCUUCUACAAACGAGCUGCUGCACUACACUGAGAAGCCCGAGACUUUUGUAAGCGAUCUCAUAAACUGUGGUGUAUAUGUAUUUACCCCAGAAAUCUUUGGGGCUGUUCAGGAUGCCUUCGUACAACGGAAAGACAGAGCUAAUUUGCG